GCCUGGGUGGCUCAGUCGGUUGGGCGCCUGACUUCGGCUCAGGUCAUGAUCUCAGUUUGUGAGUUCAAGCCCCGCAUCAGGCU
rfam:Felis catus isolate Cinnamon breed Abyssinian chromosome D3, whole genome shotgun sequence.